UAUAAUUGCAGGAAUUACCAUUUGUAAUUCUAAUUAAUGGUUCUUGAAAAUAACAGUGGGAUUCUUUUUUUCCUAUUCCAGUUCUUGGACACUCUGGAGUCCAUCCUGAGACUCACUGGAUCCCGGAAGCCCUGGUUAAGAAGCCCUGGCUGAGAGGCGGGGGUUUAAGGGAAAAGAGGAGGAUUUGUCUCAGAACCCAAAUUCUGGCCUCUAGCUGGCUGCCGAGGCCCUGACCUUCUCCAGUCCUGCAUCUCCACCCACCUGCCUCAGUGACAUCACAGAGGAACCCAGCCUGUGCCCACAGCCUGGUUGUCCCAGCUUAUCUGAAGCCCCUCAGUGGGGUGAGCUUAGCAGAAGCCGCCAGGGAAUGACUCCCUGGAGCCAGAGUGCCCCAGACAGCCCAGCUCGGGGCUUCAGGGGCCCUGGCCGCCUCCCAGGCACUUAUUUUAUGUUCAGAAAGAGCAAAGCUGACAGGUAAUAAAUGGAUGAGGAGGACUGGAGUGGGCUCUGACUGUCUGCCCGGCGCCUGCCCAGCCAGCCCGCCAUACCCACCACCACCCUCUCAGGGGGAUGAAAGCACCAUUAAUUACCCAGGAAGAAAGGGCACCAUGAGGACGCACCCAGUGUUGCUUGGGGACAUCAUCUAUGGUGGCAUUUUCUGAGAGAAGCACCAAGCCUGAAGCUUGGCUGUCACCCCCACCACCCUCUGCCAUCAGCCGGCCAGGCUUUCCUUCUCCCCAGGUACCCCAGGGCGCCUUCCAACUUGGGUCCUGCCCUCAAAGCCUCUUCACCUGUCCAGUGUCCCUGAGGGAUUGCUUUUUGCAGGUCGGUGCCAACAGUUCUCCAAACGGGAGCUCAAGCCACCGCCCCACUUGCCCUGUGAAGAAGAAACCGUUAUCAUCACAUUUUACAGACCAGAUGAGCAGACUGAGCCUCAGAGAAGUGAUCUGACUUGUCCAAGGCUGGUUUGUAAGUGGCAUGGUCUGGAUUUGGCCGUAGGCUAUUUCAGCAAUCUCAGCCACCACUCCAUCCUGCUCCUCAGGUGCGUGCCUUCCUCCUUGCCACGAACCUCUGUGACUCCUACAAGCUGCCAGGUCUUAACCUGGUCAGUCCUGGGGACACCAGGAACAACACCAGCUCCUGCCUCUGGGCAGCCCCACUGGGUCCGUGGCACAGACAACCAUAGACUCUGCCUGGAAAAGCUGCUUCAUGGAGAAGGUGACACCUGAGCCAGGGCCAACAGGUGCACAGAUGGGAAUGUCAGCAAAGAGCAGCUCAGUUACUCAGCAAGUCAAGCCUCAUCCUAAACCCAUUCAGACUCCAGAGCUCACACACACCUUUAACCACUGCAUGUGGAGCAGGGGGAUGGUCGGCGUUUGUGGACCCGUCAGUGGCUGGCAUUUUCAGUGUGGAAGGAGCUGCUAGAAGCCAGAAAGUAAACAGGUGGAAGCAAACAGCCACACCUCCAGCUGGGAAGGGUUGGGAGGGCAGGGGAGCCUGGCCAGGGCUCCAGCAACUUCCUCCAGCAGCUGGCCCAGGCAGCAGGAGUCGGAGCCGCCCAUUUGAGCGGCUGGAUCCGGAAGGCUGCAGCAGGGGGUCAGAGCCAGGAAGGACCUUUAGUUCUUGUUCUGCCUUCAGGAUCCAAACUUGGAGAACAAUGACCACUAAAAGUGAUUCGAUGAUGACAAUUUUUGACUGUUGCUAAGUUUAGCACUCUGGGUGGGGCAGGCACCACGUCUUAUAAUGCACAUACUUUGGCUUCCACCACCAACCCAAUGUUGUAUCCCAGUUUAACUCCAUUUCCACUUCCACCCAAAUAGGGGUUCUCUUCUUAGGGCCUUGUCAUGGGAGAAAAAACAAAGAAUAACUUCCUACCUAAGGAGGCCUUAGCGAUGAAUGAGAUCCCUAUUUAGUAUCCCAUUAGUACCUAAUACCUAAGCUAUUAAUAGAAACGGCAAUGCUUACCCCAAAUGAAUGAAUCACUA